CUCUUGGGUUACUAAUGAAGGCCCCUGGUGAGCCCACAGCAUUUUCCUUGUACAAUCAGGCCCCCAGUGGGUGGUGCUGCUUGCCUGGAGCCCUAGAGGAUUAUACAAUCAGCAGGUUAAGUGGGGUGAGGAUACCUGGGA
rnacentral:snoRNA from 1 species